AUUGAACGCUGGCGGCAUGCUUUACACAUGCAAGUCGAACGGCAGCACGGGCUUCGGCCUGGUGGCGAGUGGCGAACGGGUGAGUAAUGCAUCGGAACGUGCCCAUUUGUGGGGGAUAACUACGCGAAAGCGUGGCUAAUACCGCAUACGCCCUGAGGGGGAAAGCGGGGGAUUCUUCGGAACCUCGCGCAAUUGGAGCGGCCGAUGUCAGAUUAGCUUGUUGGUGAGGUAAAGGCUCACCAAGGCGACGAUCUGUAGCGGGUCUGAGAGGAUGAUCCGCCACACUGGGACUGAGACACGGCCCAGACUCCUACGGGAGGCAGCAGUGGGGAAUUUUGGACAAUGGGGGCAACCCUGAUCCAGCCAUGCCGCGUGAGUGAAGAA
rnacentral:rRNA from 1 species